rnacentral:rRNA from 1 species
UACGGAGGGUGCGAGCGUUGUCCGGAUUUAUUGGGUUUAAAGGGUGCGUAGGCGGCCCGUUAAGUCUGGGGUGAAACCCACGGGCUCAACCCGUGGAGUGCCCCGGAUACUGGCGGGCUUGGGUUAUCUCUAGGCGGGCGGAAUGGAAGGUGUAGCGGUGAAAUGCAUAGAUAUCUACCAGAACGCCGAUAGCGAAGGCAGCUCGCUGGGGAUAUACCGACGCUGAGGCACGAUAGCGUGGGGAUCAAACAGG